GCAGAGAGAGCUGCUUUUCCAUGAAACGGGAGUAAAGUAGUGAACAUAGAAGAGAGAAACAAACUAAAGUAUCGAUCAUAUACCACUACCAAUGUUUGGAUCGAUAUCUGCAUCGAUCUGCCCACCCUUGUCUCCUGGAUCGUAGCUGAGAUCAGCGUGAACCACGUGGGUCUCUGCUCCCUGAUCUGUUUCCUGUGUUUGGAAAGAGUUCCAGCUUCAUCCCGGAGUUUCUCUCGGUUUGUGGGCUCAUCUAAAGCUGAUCAUCAGGAGGAGACGAGCCAUUUAGACUCAGCUCAGCCACUGCAGAGGAAACAAUGACUUCAACCCAAAAGGACCAACAUGGAGCGAGAAGUCAGCGCUCUCAGGAGGCCGACAAACCUCACAGAAGAAAGAGAGAGAAAAAAUACAGCUGUGAUGAGUGUGGGAAGGGUUUUACCCGGGCUGGAGACUUAAAAACACACCAACUCAUCCACAGUGGAGUUAAACCAUACAACUGUGACUUUUGUGGAAAAUCUUUUACCCAGGCUGGAAACUUGAAACGACACCAGCUCACCCACAGUGGAGUUAAAGCGUACAGCUGUGACUUGUGUGGGAAAUCUUUUAACCAGGCUGGACACUUGAAAAGACACCAACUUAUCCACAGUGGAAUUAAACCGUACAACUGUGACUUGUGUGGAGAGUUUUUUACCCAGACUACAAGCUUAAAACGACACCAACUCAUCCACAGUGAAGUUAAACUGUACACCUGUGACCUGUGUGGAAAAUCUUUUACCCAGGCUGAAAGCUUAAAAACACACCAACUCAUCCACAGUGGAGUUAAAGCGUACAGCUGUGACUUGUGUGGGAAAUCUUUUACCCAGGCUCGACACUUAAAAAAACACCAACUCAUCCACAGUGGAGUUAAAGCGUACAGCUGUGAUCAGUGUGGUAAAGCUUUUACUCACAGUAGCCACUUACGGCUUCAUCUAGUUACCCACUCUGGAAUUAACGCGUACAGCUGUGACAUUUGUGGAAAAACUUUCAGUCGCCAAGGGGACCGAAAUAGACACCUACGCAUUCACACUGGACAUGAUGUUUACUGCUGUGAUCAGUGUUGGAAACCGUUUACAACAGAUGCACAGUUACAAAGCCACAUGUUUACCCACACUGAGGAGAGACCUUAUAAAUGUGACCUGUGUGAGAAGACUUUUAAAUCUCCACGUUACCUGAAAAUACACCAACAGAUCCACACCAGAAAGAAACUCUACAAGUGCAGUUACUGUGAGAAGCAGAGCGACACAGAUGGAUCCAGUUCUCAACCCUGUCGUCACUGUGGAGGUGGGAAAGCGUUUCGUUGUGACCUUUGUGGAAAAACUUUCAAUCAGCAACGAAGCCUAAAAAUGCAUCAGCGUAGACACACUGAAGACAAAAUGAUCUACUGUAAAGAAUGUGGGAGAGGCUUCCCCACUCAAUCUGAUUUUAAACAACAUGAAAUCUUCCACAGUGGGGUUAAAAAGCACGCCUGUAACCAGUGUGCAUACUUCUCCACCUCUGCAGGUCAGCUUAAAAGACAUAAACGAGUCCACACAGGAGAGAAACCAUACAAGUGUAGACACUGUAACAAAAGUUUCUCAGAAUCGAGCAGUCGUAACCUUCAUGAACGUAUACACAUUGAAGGGAACUUCAGCUGUGACCAGUGUGACAAGAGCUUCAAGAAUCUCAGUUCAUACUCCAAACACAAACGAUCCCAUUCUCAUUAUUCAUUAUCUGCUCUGUGCAAACAGAGUAAGCGUGAUCAUGAAAUCAUUCCUAUUACUGAAUCACAAUGACUCUGCAGAGACAGAAAGUUCCUCUUCUGGUUUCAGGUUCAGACUUAAAAACCUUGAGAUCAGGCUCCACAGAGUUCAGAUGGAAUCUGCUGUAAAGAGUAUCAGCUGAUGUCACACUUGGAUCUCAUAAGGUAGCUCUGAUUUCUGGACCUGCAGUAAAUAAUCCUGAAUCUUAAAUUUGAUAAGCUGCAAGUAUAGAUGUGUACAUCAAGUUUUUGUGUUUUAAUUUUAAUGCAUUUUAUUGCUCUGAAAUGUUAUUCCUGUUACAUUUACACAAUUCCCCCUCAGAAAACAGUAGUGUUUAGUUGUAGUACUUGUAUUAUAAAGUUAUAGAAAUAUCUUUUAAAGCCAGCUGAUAAGUGUCAGUCUUGGUAGCCGGGGAUCGGUCAACAGACAACAUAGCCCCUGGGAUCCCUGGGAGACACAAACCCCUCCACCACGAUAAGGUAGCGAUUCGCAGAGAGAAUCAGCACCUCUGAAUCUGAGGCCAUGAGCCUCAGCCGGAAAGGGGUGGAGUGCCCACUCCGGGUCAGGGACGAGACCCUGCCCCAAGUGGAGCGAAAGAACGAGAUCGCGAAUGCAAGCGGCGGAAAUGGGUUUCCUCCGAAGGGUGGCUGGCCUCUCCCUUAGAGAUAGGGUGAGCAGUUCGGCCAUUCGGGAGGGGCUCAGAGUAGAGCCGCUGCUCCUCCACAUCGAAAGGAGCCAGUUGAAGUGGUUCGGGCAUCUGAUAAGGAUGCCACCUGGGCGCCUCCUGAGCGAGGUUUUCCAGGCUUGUCCCACCGGGAGGAGGCCCCGGGGCAGACCCAGGACACGCUGGAGAGAUUAUAUCUCUCGGCUGGCCUGGGAUUGCCUUGGUUUUCCCCUGGAUAAGCUGGAGGAGGUGGCUGGGGAGAGGGAGGUCUGGGCUUCACUGCUUGGGCUGCUGCCCCUGCGACCUGGCCCCGGAUAAGCAGAAGAAAACGGAUGUAUGGAUGAUAAGUAAGUGCAGUUUAAAAUUUCAGAGCUGGUUAGAAAUGCACAGCAGCACCGAGCAGUGUUGCACAUAUAUUAAUAAAUAGAAUUUGGCCCAUUUUUCCACUCUAUGUGACUUUGAUAAUCAAAUCACCAGAAUAAAUAAGUGAUUUCAUGAAGCAUUAGUGUGCCAUUUUCAUGUUAUAUUUUCACUAUUCUUUAUAGAGCUCUAUCACCUUUUCUCUGAUAAUCUCUGUGAUUGGAGAAGGUGACGCUCACUUGAUCUAUGUUGUGCAGAUGAAAAGUGAAAUGACACGUGAAGCUCCUAGUUUGUGGUGGAAAAUUUGAGUGUCAUCCGAUUUAACUCCUAUGACUGUCGUCUGUUCAUGGUCAUGAGGCAUUUUGUGUGUCUUUGUUAUCAGGCAGAUCUGAUCUCAGGAAAUCAGUUUGGUUUCAACACUGUUUAUUUUGAGGGAAUAUUCAGGCAGUUAAAUGUGUUGAUUAAUGAACAAGAGUCUAAAAAUGGGCUAAAGGAGUUCUGAAGUACAAAUAUAUGUGCACUGUGUGUAAUGGGACUUGGCAAGACUUUUAGGUUGAGAGAUUUACUAAACAUGUCUGGGUGAGUGGCUGUGUUUUCAUCUGCCUGUGGUGUAUCUCCUGGAUCCGGCCUAUGGCAGAGCCCUUCUCGAUUUUUCUCCCAUCGGCACUAAUUAACAGGGCUGCAUUUAAGCCCUCUGUGGCUGUCUGUCCUUCCCCAGCCCAUUAACUACCUGUAAUGGAACCAGUUCUCAUGUUCUUUGUGAGUGUCUAUGCUUUUGAUUGUUAACUCACCCUGUUUUCCUUGUGUCUACAUCUCUUAUAAAACCACUGUUCAGCCUUUCAGCAGCUUGCACCCUUGCUCUGGAUUAGUUGCAGGCUACAGGUAAGAUCAUCCACAUGCUGGUUGAAAUCCCUGAUCGUUAAGAGUUUAUCCAGUUUAAUGCCGGAAGAUGAAAAGUCUGGAAAAACCUGAAUGAAAACACCACCAGGGCUGGGAGGGCUGUAAAUUAAAACACAGUAAAAUAUAUUUGAUGAACCAACCUUAAGUAGUGACUCAAAGGAGUGCAAAGUCUCAGAGUCCAUUGCUCUGCAGGAGAAACUGUCCCACCAAACGCAGAGUCCUGAUGAAAUAACAGCCGACCGGGCAGAACUCAUUAAGGUGAAACAAUGGGCCUUUCUCAGUUCUCAAGUACGUGAGUCCGUACUCGCGUUCUCGGCAAAUCCGGACUUACCAAGAACACAUGGGAGUACGGACUCGCGAUUUGUACAAUUGGAGCAACAGCGUACUUGAUGAUGUCACAGGUUCGGAGUUCCCUCUUAAUUUAACUGUGAUUAAUAUGUUAUGAAGCUUAACUUUAAUCUCAGCCAAACCGAUUUACUCAAAUGAAACUCUGAAAUGGACCAAACAUUAAGAUUUAGAAGUUAUCUAAGAGAGUUGCAUAUCAUGUUUAACCUGAGUAGCAAAAGGCCGAGGGGGGGGGUUGAAAACGAUGUGCGGGAGUCUGUUCUCGCCGGGCUCUAGUGAUCCUUGACCUCGCAGUCUGCUAUCAAGCUGGUGGGUAACAGGCAUCUCCGGAAACGUCGAAGCACUUUUGGAAAUAUGGGAUAUCUUGAUAAAUCAAGCAGAUAUUUGAAGUUUACACAACUACAUUCUCUCCUGAAAAUUACUUAAAAGUUUAUUUUGUGACCCAGAAGGAGUAAUAUUUAAAAAAAAUUUAGCCACGCUCCUCCGCCGUUGCCGUGUUUAAAUUUUGGACGAAAUGCAUUCUGGGAUAUUUAGCUGUACCAAGUCCACACAAGUCACCACCGAUGCAUGCUCGAUAAAACGGGCGGAGCGAGAACACAUCUGGGACUUUUUUGCGUUCUCUGCUUGAUGCGCAUGUCACUGUCACUAGCCGAUCCAUACCGGAAACCCGAUCGGUGCCACGCAUGUGCGAAAGGCCCAUACUUCCGCUCAUUUUACGAUAGUUACGGGUCAGAGUAUCUGUUAAGAUGUUAACAAUAAUAAGUAUCUCUUAAAAUGUUUGCAAUAAUGAAACAUUUCAAUUUAAUGUAGAGAAAAACGAAAAAUAAAAAGAUAGCCACAGAUCAGGACUCCCCGAUCCUUACUGCACAUGUGCAAAGUCAGACCAUAGAAAUCGGGUCUACCAGAUUCAUACCGCACAUGUGCAGAUGUUUUCUUCUUCUUCUGUUUCUUUUAAUGGCAGUUUACUCCCCAGUGUACGAGGAUACUGCCACCUGCUGACCGAGCGAAUGAACCCUAUUGUAAACUGAACUAGGCGUGUUAAAUUUGAUUUUGCGGUAGUCGAGUGUGUUUAUGCUUGUCUGUGUGGAGAGGAUUGUUGGAAUAGUGAUGAUGAUGUCCACUAUCACUGUCAAUUGUCAGUAAACAUUUAAUCUGGGUGAUGAAUCUUCAUGUGACAUAUUACUAGAUCUGUAUUAUAAAGUCUGUAAUUAGGCGCCAUUCUUCUUAUUUUACUGCGUUUUUGUUCAAUCAGGGGACGCUCUCUGUUGAGGAGAAAAGCAUGAAUUUGUUUGUAUACGGAUUAUCCGUUGUUUAAAUGUCCCAGGCAGUCGAAAAGGAGGCAGAGCUGUUGAGAAAUGCUAGGAGCUAACUGGGCGCUAACCCUGUCACUCAAAUAAUUAACUGUUGCAAUGUUGGCAAAAAGAAGAAAUGACGUAAGAUUUGCGCAUACGUGGUACGGAUCGGGUAGCGACAGCGUACUUUGAAUUGGAACAGUACUUGGUCUCCAACUAAUGACGUAUCACGAGCAGGGCAGUAACACGUAACUGUAAUCCGAUUACUUUUUUCAAGUAACGAGUAAAGUAAGGGAUUACUAUUGCAAAAACGGUAAUUAGAUUACCUUUACUUUCCCGUAGGAACGCUGCGUUACUGCGUUACUAAAACCGUGAGUUUUUUGCAAGAAUGUCUCAUGACAGUGACGUAAGCGAGUGCGACGUUCAUGACAACAGCUGUCUGCAGAUCAACAAUGGAUGAUAUAUCGAGUGUGCGAGAGAGUAUGAGCAUGCAGCGUUUAAAGCGUGGAAGUACUGACCUUACUUUGAGUUUGAUUCCAUAAAAAGUGACAAAAACAUUAGCGUCCGUUGUGCGUGGGAAGAAAACUUCUUUUUACAGCGAAAAAAACCCCUAAACUUCCAAGCAAGCACAGAGUGCGCUACGACGUAAUGGGAAAUUCACGGACAAACUCGCGGAGUCUUCAACUGACCGCUGCGGCACACCUGCACCAGGGAACACCUCCACCUACCCCACUCCUGCUUUACAGGUGAAAAUAGAGCAACAGGACCGCUGAUUCUUUGACUUCAUUUAUUUUCUGCUGUGUUUUACUUGCAUCUAUUUGAAAGAGUGAGUGUAAACACAAAAAAAAUAUUUUAUUUUAUGUGCUGGAAUGUGCAGAAAAUAGGUUUAAAUGUUAAACAAAUUUCUUCCAGUCAGAGAAUGUUGCAUAUAAUUUAAUUUUUGCUUGAUGCAUAAAGUUAAAAGAUUAAAACUAAUAAAACAAGUUUUAAAAAGAGACUUUUCCAUUUGAUUACAUUUUGUAUGAUGGAUUAUGCAGAAAAAGUAGAAUUGGGCUGAAAGAUCUAUCGCUUUAUCACCUAUUCAGGUUGUAAAUUGUGUUUUUAAAAAGUAACUAAGUGAUUAAUUACUUUUGAAAAUAAGUAAUCAGUAAAGUUACGGGAUUACUUUUUUGGGGGAAGUAAUCAGUAAUUAGUUACUUAUUACUUUUUUCAAGUGACUUGACCAACACUGAUCACGAGUACACAAGUACGCAUACUGAGACAGGCCCAAUUUCUUCUCCCUCUGCCAGGAUUCUGUGAGGAACAUAACGUCCAAACUAUCACUCAUUAAAAAAAGUCAUUUAGUACAAAUGAUUUGUUGGCAUAUAGAUUUGAAACAAAGAACUGAAAAACACUUGAAAUAUAUUUGCAUAUAAGACAUACAUGAAAACACAAAAACUGUCAUUGUAGUGGUGAAUAUGAUAAGUGGUAAGACAAUGAAUUUUACUUCUGUCACUGUACAUGUUAUGUAGCAGUAUCCAUUUUAUCAUGCAUGUAUGCUACUUUUCUCUGCUGACUGGAAAUGGUUUUUCUUUUGUUUUCAUGAAAUAAA